rnacentral:lncRNA from 1 species
GUUAGCAAAACAGUCCGACAGGGAUUCGACUCUGAAUUUACCUGAAAGUUUAACGUUAAGUUACUCACGAUGAAGUUAUUCGAGUAUUUAUUUGUUACAUAUAACAGAAACUGUGCACUUCAGAAACAAGCCAUAAUAAUAGCGCUGAAUGUUUAACAGUGACAAAAACCAAACAAGGAAAUCAUCUUGUUGUGCGGACAGUGGACACAGAUUUUCCCUGUGAAAAAAUUAUCAGCCAUCUCUCCUGUACUGUUGACUCACGGGGAGCGGCAGUGGUCAAAGGUGUGGUUAACGGCUUAACUCGACGUCCCAAAAGAUCGGUCACACACUCCUUAAAGUGGCAUCGCCUGAAGGGCACUGAUAACACGCAUCCUGCGUUCCUAUUGGUUGAUGUCCAGAAAACCAGCAAUCUCACAUGGAAGAAUCUGUACAUUAGAGGAAAGCUGUCAGGUAUUGAGAGGAGAAGAGGGGGGCUGCCCGCUGCUGUGCCGGCAUUCGCCGCGACUCACGCCCACCUCCGAGUCACAUCUGGUGCAGGGAGCGAGCGCUCCGAUAAGUGAACCGAAGCCGAUGGUGCGCCACACAGAUGUUGCCCCCACUACUUUCUCCUCUAAGUCUUCCAAAUCUCCUUGAGAGAGUCGCACACACUUUGGCCUCC